AGAGUUGAUCCUGGCUUAGGAUGAACGCUAGCUACAGGCUUAACACAUGCAAGUCGAGGGGCAGCAUGAUCUAGCUGCUAAGAUGAUGGCGACCGGCGCACGGGUGAGUAACGCGUAUCCAACCUUCCCUAUAGUAGAGGAUAGCCCGGCGAAAGUCGGAUUAAUACUCUAUGUUAUUCAAUGCGGACAUCUAAGUUGAAUCAAAGGUUUACCGCUAUAGGAUGGGGAUGCGUCUGAUUAGGUUGUUGGCGGGGUAACGGCCCACCAAGCCUUCGAUCAGUAGGGGUUCUGAGAGGAAGGUCCCCCACAUUGGAACUGAGACACGGUCCAAACUCCUACGGGAGGCAGCAGUGAGGAAUAUUGGUCAAUGGGCGAGAGCCUGAACCAGCCAAGUAGCGUGCAGGAAGACGGCCCUAUGGGUUGUAAACUGCUUUUAUACAGGGAUAAAGUGUGCCACGUGUGGCGUUUUGUAGGUACUGUAUGAAUAAGGACCGGCUAAUUCCGUGCCAGCCGCUGC
rnacentral:rRNA from 1 species